GGAAGGAUCAUUACAGAAUUGUCAACGGGUUGUUGCUGGUCCUCGAACGGGGACAUGUGCACGCUCUGUUUACACAUCCACUCACACCUGUGCACCCUCUGUAGUUCUGUGGUCUGGGGGACCCUGUCUUCCUGCCGUGGUUCUACGUCUUUACACACACACUGUAAUAAAGUCUUAUGGAAUGUAUGCCGCGUCUAACGCAAUACAAUACAACUUUCAGCAACGGAUCUCUUGGCUCUCGCAUCGAUGAAGAACGCAGCGAAAUGCGAUAAGUAAUGUGAAUUGCAGAAUUCAGUGAAUCAUCGAAUCUUUGAACGCACCUUGCGCCCCUUGGCUAUUCUGAGGGGCAUGCCUGUUUGAGUAUCAUGAACACCUCAACUCUCAUGGUUCGCCGUGAUGAGCUUGGACUCUGGGGGUUUUGCUGGCCUGCGGUCGGCUCCCCUCAAAUGAAUCAGCCUCCCAGUGUUUGGUGGCAUCACGGGUGUGAUAAAUAUCUACGCUCGCAGUUGUCC
rnacentral:sRNA from 1 species